ensembl:lncRNA
GGUUAGUUUAUCCAUCGAGGAGGAAUAAACACAUGCCUCUUCUCAGGUUUGGUGGCAAAACCCUCAUGGAACGGCAGGUGGGAAAAUGGGAAGACAGGUAUCAGGUCUCUGCUCUGUUGCUAAAGGUAAAUACUUAGAGAAAAACCGGCGUCGGCUACAGCUGUCUUCAGGGAUCUGUGGACCUUCCAGAUAAGAGAGACUUUUCAUCUGCUUCUG